rnacentral:tRNA from 1 species
GCUUCCGUGAGAUGGUACGUGAGUAGGAGACUGACCUGGGCAUCUGACUACGGAUCAGAAGGUUAGGGGUUCGAGUCCCUUCGGGCGCG